rnacentral:rRNA from 1 species
CGACUUCGGAAGGGGUGUAUUUAUUAGAUAAAAAACCAAUGCCCUUCGGGGCUCUUUGGUGAUUCAUAAUAACUUAACGAAUCGCAUGGCCUUGUGCCGGCGAUGGUUCAUUCAAAUUUCUGCCCUAUCAACUUUCGAUGAUAAUGUAUUGGAUUAUCAUGGUUUCAACGGGUAACGGGGAAUUAGGGUUCUAUUCCGGAGAGGGAGCCUGAGAAACGGCUACCACAUCCAAGGAAGGCAGCAGGCGCGCAAAUUACCCAAUCCCGACACGGGGAGGUAGUGACAAUAAAUACUGAUACAGGGCUCUUUUGGGUCUUGUAAUUGGAAUGAGUACAAUUUAAAUCCCUUAACGAGGAACAAUUGGAGGGCAAGUCUGGUGCCAGCAGCCGCGGUAAUUCCAGCUCCAAUAGCGUAUAUUAAAGUUGUUGCAGUUAAAAAGCUCGUAGUUGAACCUUGGGCCUGGCUGGCCGGUCCGCCUCACCGCGUGCACUGGUCCGGCCGGGCCUUUCCUUCUGGGGAACCGCAUGCCCUUCACUGGGUGUGUCGGGGAUCCAGGACUUUUACUUUGAAAAAAUUAGAGUGUUCAAAGCAGGCCUAUGCUCGAAUACAUUAGCAUGGAAUAAUAGAAUAGGACGUGUGGUUCUAUUUUGUUGGUUUCUAGGACCGCCGUAAUGAUUAAUAGGGAUAGUCGGGGGCAUCAGUAUUCAAUUGUCAGAGGUGAAAUUCUUGGAUUUAUUGAAGACUAACUACUGCGAAAGCAUUUGCCAAGGAUGUUUUCAUUAAUCAGUGAACGAAAGUUAGGGGAUCGAAGACGAUCAGAUACCGUCGUAGUCUUAACCAUAAACUAUGCCGACUAGGGAUCGGGCGAUGUUAUCUUUUUGACUCGCUCGGCACCUUACGAGAAAUCAAAGUCUUUGGGUCUG